rnacentral:pre_miRNA from 1 species
AGCCAAUGUAGACUGGCAUGCCUCAGCCAUCUCUGGGCAAGUGUGUCUUAGAGUGGCUCACUCUCAAUGACUAGGCUG